AAAUGGCGCCCGGCGGCUCCCCGCGCGCGCCCCCGGCAGGCAGGCGGCGAGCUGAGGCGGCGCUUCCCUUCCUCCUCCACACAUGUAAUCCAUGAGGGAAUCUCACUCUUAAUUCGCCCGCUGCCCGCCAAACUGCUCUUCAGUGAGCAAAGUGGCUUCUUUUUCAUCGUGCAAUGGACAGCUGUCGUUCCGCUGUCUGCUGGCCUACCAAGGGAGAGCCAUUCCUAGAACACGCUCCUGAGAAGGCCUGACGCCAUAAGGCCGCUUCAGCCCCCCAGGAGCGGAAAAUGACUUUUCCACAAACAGAUGCUGCUAUUGGCAAAUGUUCCGGCCAGAUCCACUCCCCAGCAGUGGUUAGACAGCACAUUCCAGUAUUCUGGCUGUCCAUUUGCCCUCAACUACUAUCUGAGGUGAAGACUCUGGGUAAUCAUCCAGGAUUUUUCAAUGUACAGCAGUUCACUCAGAGCUUCAAAUUCCCUGCUGGAUAACUGGAAAUCUCAGUCCUGUCCAUCACACAUGUGCUGCAAGGUACAUAUGUCUAAGAAGCAUAUGAAGAGCAAUAUAUAGCACUGCGGAAAAGUAACAGAACAUCUGCCAAGAAGGAUUGUAAACACACUAAAGGGACUUGCACAUGGGGUGUUGGAAAACACAUAUCAUGCUAAUCAUCCUUUAGUCUUACGGGCUCAACAAGUAGAAUAUUUGCAC
rnacentral:lncRNA from 1 species